GUAUAUCAAUAAGCGAAAGAAAAAGACAGACACGUAUUCCUGUAGAACUGACUAAAAUCACAACCUUAAAAGAAAGAGCUCACUACGCUGCUACUUGAUCCUCGUCG
rnacentral:rRNA from 12 species